GAUGAACGCUGGCGGCGUGCCUAAUACAUGCAAGUCGAGCGAACAGACGAGGAGCUUGCUCCUCUGACGUUAGCGGCGGACGGGUGAGUAACACGUGGAUAACCUACCUAUAAGACUGGGAUAACUUCGGGAAACCGGAGCUAAUACCGGAUAAUAUAUUGAACCGCAUGUUUCAAUAGUGAAAGACGGUUUUGCUGUCACUUAUAGAUGGAUCCGCGCCGCAUUAGCUAGUUGGUAAGGUAACGGCUUACCAAGGCGACGAUGCGUAGCCGACCUGAGAGGGUGAUCAGCCACACUGGAACUGAGACACGGUCCAGACUCCGACGGGAGGCAGCAGUAGGGAAUCUUCCGCAAUGGGCGAAAGCCUGACGGAGCAACGCCGCGUGAGUGAUGAAGGUCUUCGGAUCGUAAAACUCUGUUAUUAGGGAAGAACAAAUGUGUAAGUAACUAUGCACGUCUUGACGGUACCUAAUCAGAAAGCCACGGCUAACUACGUG
rnacentral:rRNA from 1 species